GGCAGGCUCGGCUCCCAGAACCAAGCGUUGCAAACUGUUGCAUCAGACAGCAAGCAGCCGACCGGGCAGCCAGGGUUUCUAGGAAGAUAGCAAGGGUUUGAGGUCCUCUCUGGUCGAAUGGGAGCGUUGGCUGUCACUCACGGUGUUUACGCGCUGGUAACACGAUCCCCUGAAACCUCGAGUUUGCGCCAGUCCGGGGAGGGCCUUAGCCACAGGUGAAAGUCGCUUGAACCCCGCGGCUUCUGCCUGCACUCCACGGCCGCAGGCUGGGCCGACCGAACGGACUCGGCCUGUUUUAUUAAUGGCAUGGGCCCUGAAGGAAUGAGCUGGGUUGGAUUUCUCUUCCCAAGUACAAGAAUGCCCCUGAGGAAUUUCUCACUCUGUGAAAGUGCAAAACUAAUUUCCCCAGACAAGCGCUCUUGCCGGUUCCCAAAAGGGCUUGGAAAGAUCCCAGCAGGAAUGUUCAGUGGUUCCAAAGCUCUUCACCCAGCUGCUGGACGUGCAGACACUGACCACCAAGAACUUGGCGGGUGGACACACGUCCUUCACAGACUGGCCUUCGUUUUAGAGUCUCUCAGGCCCCUGGGUUAUGGACGUUUUGGACAUCAGCCAGAAAAUGCACAAACCCGAACUCACACAGACACAGCACAAAUGUAACAGUUGUCUAGAUUUCAAGUGACUCUGCAACUCAGGACCUCAAGUACAAUGCUGGAAAGAAAACUUGCAGACAUUUUUGUCUUGUUCCUGAUUUUUAAAGGAAUGCUUCUAACAUUUCAUCUUCAAGAAUGAUGUUUGAAGAAUGAUGUUUGCUGUACUUAUUUGGUAAAAAAAAAAAAAUUCUAUCAGAUGCUUUUUUGAAUUCACCGUUGCUGAGGGAAGGCAGGACCAGACGUUGUGAGGUAGAGGAGUCCACGCUGGAUGGAAUUUCCGGCAGCCGGGGUUCAAAUCCCGACUCAGCCCUCUCCCCCUUCCCAGCUGAGUGGUCUUGGGCAAGUCACUUAACGCUCUUAACUGGCAAGAAGCCUCACUCAUCACAUGGAACAGCCAUCACCCUGGUCGCAAGGGUGGGAGGAAAUGGUGUGCAGGAGCCCAGCACAGAGCACGUAUCCAGUUCACGUGCAUCUUCAGGACACGAGUGAGGCUGUCUCCUUUUCCUGGUGAUUCCCAGACUUGUGUAGCUUGUAGACUGGGAAGAUCUCAGAAUGUAUUUCGAUGAGCCUAAGUUUGCCAACUUUUUAUUUUGCCGAAGUAGGACAGUAUAAAAAAAAAGCAAAAAACACAACUCACCUCCAUCUAUUUUCACUAACUCUCAUAAAAGAAUAUUUGAAAACAAAAAGUAACAAGGACAUGGUUUACGAGUGAGACGUGGAAUACGUUACAGAAACCUCUCUGUAUCAUUCCUGUAUCAUUCCUGUUUCUCUAACCUCACCAGGGAUGCGUGAAAACUCGGUUCACAGAUCAGCAUUUGGGGGCUAUCGCGUUCCAUGGCUCAGGCUCAGAAGGGUUUUCCAGAUUAGGGUUUCCUGCUGUGGACACGGCACCCUGAGGUGGGGAGGGGGACGGGUGAGUAUGAGGGAGCAGCACAUCUUCUGGUAUGAAGUUUAAGGAAGUGCUGAAGUGUGAUUGCCUAGUCCGGGGACCUUGGCACAAGGAGAGACACCAGCAGGUGGGAGAAGUGGUUGUUAUGAUACAAAGUAUGAGGGGAGGGGCGGGGCAGAACAUUUCAUGUCUGAAUUCCAAGUAAAAUAAUGGCUGUAUCUGCAUUUGGGGUCUUAAAAAAAAAAAAAACACAAACAGAUGUAAGUAAACAAUGAAAACUUGCCGCGUCUGGUGGCUGAAAUGUGCUUAGACUCAUGAUGAUUUCACUCUGACCCUGUUCCAAAUCACUUGUGGGUUUUCUGACACCC